AGCCACCUUCCCAGCCCCUCAGCAGUAUUCUUAUACUGACUAUAUAUCAAUAGGAAGCAGAGUAAACCUAUCCCAUAGAUACCUCAGCCCAGGCCCUGUGCCUGAUCUGUAUUGUAAAUGAGGAGACAUGG
ensembl:snoRNA